AUACGGAGGGUGCAAGCGUUAAUCGGAAUUACUGGGCGUAAAGCGUACGUAGGCGGUUUGAUAAGUCAGAUGUGAAAGCCCCGGGCUCAACCUGGGAACUGCAUUUGAAACUGUCAGACUAGAGUUUGGUAGAGGGUAGUAGAAUUCCUGGUGUAGCGGUGAAAUGCGUAGAUAUCAGGAGGAAUACCAGUGGCGAAGGCGGCUACCUGGACCAAAACUGACGCUGAGGUACGAAAGCGUGGGGAGCAAACAGGAUUAGAAACCCCGGUAGUCC
rnacentral:rRNA from 1 species